GGUUAAGCGACUAAGCGUACACGGUGGAUGCCCUGGCAGUCAGAGGCGAUGAAGGACGUGCUAAUCUGCGAUAAGCGUCGGUAAGGUGAUAUGAACCGUUAUAACCGGCGAUUUCCGAAUGGGGAAACCCAGUGUGUUUCGACACACUAUCAUUAACUGAAUCCAUAGGUUAAUGAGGCGAACCGGGGGAACUGAAACAUCUAAGUACCCCGAGGAAAAGAAAUCAACCGAGAUUCCCCCAGUAGCGGCGAGCGAACGGGGAGCAGCCCAGAGCCUGAAUCAGUGUGUGUGUUAGUGGAAGCGUCUGGAAAGGCGCGCGAUACAGGGUGACAGCCCCGUACACAAAAAUGCACAUGCUGUGAGCUCGAUGAGUAGGGCGGGACACGUGGUAUCCUGUCUGAAUAUGGGGGGACCAUCCUCCAAGGCUAAAUACUCCUGACUGACCGAUAGUGAACCAGUACCGUGAGGGAAAGGCGAAAAGAACCCCGGCGAGGGGAGUGAAAAAGAACCUGAAACCGUGUACGUACAAGCAGUGGGAGCACGCUUAGGCGUGUGACUGCGUACCUUUUGUAUAAUGGGUCAGCGACUUAUAUUCUGUAGCAAGGUUAACCGAAUAGGGGAGCCGAAGGGAAACCGAGUCUUAACUGGGCGUUAAGUUGCAGGGUAUAGACCCGAAACCCGGUGAUCUAGCCAUGGGCAGGUUGAAGGUUGGGUAACACUAACUGGAGGACCGAACCGACUAAUGUUGAAAAAUUAGCGGAUGACUUGUGGCUGGGGGUGAAAGGCCAAUCAAACCGGGAGAUAGCUGGUUCUCCCCGAAAGCUAUUUAGGUAGCGCCUCGUGAAUUCAUCUCCGGGGGUAGAGCACUGUUUCGGCAAGGGGGUCAUCCCGACUUACCAACCCGAUGCAAACUGCGAAUACCGGAGAAUGUUAUCACGGGAGACACACGGCGGGUGCUAACGUCCGUCGUGAAGAGGGAAACAACCCAGACCGCCAGCUAAGGUCCCAAAGUCAUGGUUAAGUGGGAAACGAUGUGGGAAGGCCCAGACAGCCAGGAUGUUGGCUUAGAAGCAGCCAUCAUUUAAAGAAAGCGUAAUAGCUCACUGGUCGAGUCGGCCUGCGCGGAAGAUGUAACGGGGCUAAACCAUGCACCGAAGCUGCGGCAGCGACACUAUGUGUUGUUGGGUAGGGGAGCGUUCUGUAAGCCUGUGAAGGUGUGCUGUGAGGCAUGCUGGAGGUAUCAGAAGUGCGAAUGCUGACAUAAGUAACGAUAAAGCGGGUGAAAAGCCCGCUCGCCGGAAGACCAAGGGUUCCUGUCCAACGUUAAUCGGGGCAGGGUGAGUCGACCCCUAAGGCGAGGCCGAAAGGCGUAGUCGAUGGGAAACAGGUUAAUAUUCCUGUACUUGGUGUUACUGCGAAGGGGGGACGGAGAAGGCUAUGUUGGCCGGGCGACGGUUGUCCCGGUUUAAGCGUGUAGGCUGGUUUUCCAGGCAAAUCCGGAAAAUCAAGGCUGAGGCGUGAUGACGAGGCACUACGGUGCUGAAGCAACAAAUGCCCUGCUUCCAGGAAAAGCCUCUAAGCAUCAGGUAACAUCAAAUCGUACCCCAAACCGACACAGGUGGUCAGGUAGAGAAUACCAAGGCGCUUGAGAGAACUCGGGUGAAGGAACUAGGCAAAAUGGUGCCGUAACUUCGGGAGAAGGCACGCUGAUAUGUAGGUGAGGUCCCUCGCGGAUGGAGCUGAAAUCAGUCGAAGAUACCAGCUGGCUGCAACUGUUUAUUAAAAACACAGCACUGUGCAAACACGAAAGUGGACGUAUACGGUGUGACGCCUGCCCGGUGCCGGAAGGUUAAUUGAUGGGGUCAGCGCAAGCGAAGCUCUUGAUCGAAGCCCCGGUAAACGGCGGCCGUAACUAUAACGGUCCUAAGGUAGCGAAAUUCCUUGUCGGGUAAGUUCCGACCUGCACGAAUGGCGUAAUGAUGGCCAGGCUGUCUCCACCCGAGACUCAGUGAAAUUGAACUCGCUGUGAAGAUGCAGUGUACCCGCGGCAAGACGGAAAGACCCCGUGAACCUUUACUAUAGCUUGACACUGAACAUUGAGCCUUGAUGUGUAGGAUAGGUGGGAGGCUUGGAAGUGUGGACGCCAGUCUGCAUGGAGCCGACCUUGAAAUACCACCCUUUAAUGUUUGAUGUUCUAACGUUGACCCGUAAUCCGGGUUGCGGACAGUGUCUGGUGGGUAGUUUGACUGGGGCGGUCUCCUCCUAAAGAGUAACGGAGGAGCACGAAGGUUGGCUAAUCCUGGUCGGACAUCAGGAGGUUAGUGCAAUGGCAUAAGCCAGCUUGACUGCGAGCGUGACGGCGCGAGCAGGUGCGAAAGCAGGUCAUAGUGAUCCGGUGGUUCUGAAUGGAAGGGCCAUCGCUCAACGGAUAAAAGGUACUCCGGGGAUAACAGGCUGAUACCGCCCAAGAGUUCAUAUCGACGGCGGUGUUUGGCACCUCGAUGUCGGCUCAUCACAUCCUGGGGCUGAAGUAGGUCCCAAGGGUAUGGCUGUUCGCCAUUUAAAGUGGUACGCGAGCUGGGUUUAGAACGUCGUGAGACAGUUCGGUCCCUAUCUGCCGUGGGCGCUGGAGAACUGAGGGGGGCUGCUCCUAGUACGAGAGGACCGGAGUGGACGCAUCACUGGUGUUCGGGUUGUCAUGCCAAUGGCACUGCCCGGUAGCUAAAUGCGGAAGAGAUAAGUGCUGAAAGCAUCUAAGCACGAAACUUGCCCCGAGAUGAGUUCUCCCUGACUCCUUGAGAGUCCUGAAGGAACGUUGAAGACGACGACGUUGAUAGGCCGGGUGUGUAAGCGCAGCGAUGCGUUGAGCUAACCGGUACUAAUGAACCGUGAGGCUUAACCUU
rnacentral:rRNA from 1 species